CUAAUAUCUACUGUUUCUCACAGAACCAGUACUCUCAUCAAUUUUACAACAUGGGGAGAUGAGACCCUGCCUGAAUCAAUAGUCUUAUUUAUAUGCAUCAUAUCUAUCUUACAGGUGGCACCAAUCCAUUACUACAUGGUAGAUAUGCUGUGAACUUUGUUUGAGGAGUAAAAUCUGUUCCAGAAAAACCCUCUCCGUUCUCUGGAUCAGAUAUAUGAAAUUGAUAGAGAACAGCUGCUCCUCAGUCUGCUGGAGUUUUAUAACAUGUUAUCAAACCUUUUGAACACAGCUGGUAAACAGACGCUCCUCAGAGCAUGCAUGCCAGCAGCUCUUUGUGCUGAAAAGGGCCAGCUGGUGACGAUGAAUCAUUUCAGUGGCAUAAGAGCUGCAACAAAUAUGGGAGCAGUGCCCACAAAGCAAAUUCAGAAAGAGGAAAAUGAUGUGCAAAUGGCACAGACUGGGGGACUUGACCACUGAAUGA
rnacentral:lncRNA from 1 species